GACGAACGCUGGCGGCGUGCCUAAUACAUGCAAGUAGAACGCUGAAGAGAGGAGCUUACUCUUCUUGGAUGAGUUGCGAACGGGUGAGUAACGCGUAGGUAACCUGCCUUGUAGCGGGGGAUAACUAUUGGAAACGAUAGCUAAUACCGCAUAACAAUGGAUGACACAUGUCAUUUAUUUGAAAGGGGCAAUUGCUCCACUACAAGAUGGACCUGCGUUGUAUUAGCUAGUAGGUGAGGUAAUGGCUCACCUAGGCGACGAUACAUAGCCGACCUGAGAGGGUGAUCGGCCACACUGGGACUGAGACACGGCCCAGACUCCUACGGGGGGCAGCAGUAGGGAAUCUUCGGCAAUGGGGGCAACCCUGACCGAGCAACGCCGCGUGAGUGAAGAAGGUUUUCGGAUCGUAAAGCUCUGUUGUAAGUCAAGAACGGGUGUGAGAGUGGAAAGUUCACACUGUGACGGUAGCUUACCAGAAAGGGACGGCUAACUACGUG
rnacentral:rRNA from 1 species